CCCACCCAGGGAGCAAAGCUGACAGACGUAGCAGCAGAAAGAGAUGAGUCCACAGCUGGGGUAUCUUUAACAAAGCCACCAGCAAGAAGGUAGGGGAGUUGAACACAUUAUUAGGAUGUUCAUUCCUCCCUGGUGAGUCUGCAAGUCCUCCAAAGUCCCACCCCAGAGAGUAUCUCCUCUAUACCCUCAUUUUGAAUGCCUGGAAGGAAUUCAGUGCUCUCCUUCAGCUAAUGGGAACUAUUUGCUGCAUCCACUUUUGCUUCACGGGCCUUGAUGGUCUUGAACAGAGGUCUUUCAUGGGAGGAUGGAAAGAGUCAGUCACAACAAGUGUGAUGAAAGAUCCUUCUAGAACACGGUCAGCGGAGGAGGGAGGGGAUUCUGAGAGUUCAAAGCAAAGGUCCUAUACAUUUACCUCCACAUUCUUGUCCAUGAAUAUAAAAAUGCAUUUGAUAAAAAUCAUUACCAGAAUCCAUACCACAUAUUAGUAAUCAAAUUUAACUCUACACAAAUGAAACACUGGCUUAGGAGUAAAU